CGGGGUGCAGCAGGCGCGAAAACUCUCCAAUGUGCGAAAGCGUGAGAGGGGAACUCGCAGUGCUUACGGUUUAGCCGUAGGCUUUUGCCAUGUGUAAAUAGCAUGGCGAAUAAGUGGUGGGUAAGACUGGUGCCAGCCGCCGCGGUAACACCAGCGCCACGAGUGGCUAUCGCGAUUAUUGGGCCUAAAGCGUCCGUAGUCGGUUCUGUGCAUCUUCUGUGAAAUCGCAACGCUCAACGUUGCGGCAUGCGGGAGACACGGCAGAACUUGAGACCGGGAGGCGUGUAGGGUAUUCCACGGGGACCGGUAAAAUGGUAUAAUCCGUGGAGGACCACCUGUGGCGAAGGCGCUACACGAGAACGGAUCUGACGAUGAGGGACGAAAGCCAGGGGAGCAAACCGGAUUAGAUACCCGAGUAGUCCUGGCCGUAAACGCUGUCUGCUAGGUGUUGCACCGACUUGAGUCGUUGCAGUAUCGGAGCGAAGGUAUUAAGCAGACCGCCUGGGAAGUACGGUCGCAAGACUGAAACUUUAAGGAAUUGGCGGGGGAGCAC
rnacentral:rRNA from 1 species